rnacentral:lncRNA from 15 species
UUGGUGGCCGAUGAAACAAGACAAGUACUAUAAUAUAUUAUCAAAGACAUUUAUGUUUUUAAAAGUCAAGAGUAGUAUAUCUGCUUAGUUUUAUAAAUAUAUAACUACAGUUAUUAUUUUUGACUUCUUGGUAUUAUAUAACUAAUUAUUAUAACCAGAGAUGUAUGUAUAAGCUAAUAAAAGUGUCUUUAUGUAAAAACGACUCCUUUGCAGAAAGUGUUCAUUGUAUCUGUUCUAUUAUUUGAUAGACAUACACUAUAUGCUGAUGACUAAUGACUAUAUUUAGACGGUUAAAACCCUACAGAAUAUUUUCUUUUCCAGGUGGAAAGACAGGAUUUGGAGUCCAAAGUGUGAAGACAUGUGGCUACACGUGACAGAAUCUGAAUCUUAAUAUGUAGAAAGUAAUAGUUUUUAUUGAGCAUAGCGUUAGUUCAGGCAGGCCACGAAGUCAGGCACGUGGAAGGACAAGGAAGUCCCAGAACAGAGCCAUACCGCCAAAUGUAAUAUUCUGCUUUGGGAUAAAAGAUAUUUUGACAAAAGUGGUCCUGACUGAAUUAGAAUUAACAUUAAUUUAACAGCUAAAAUAUCUUAUUUACACUGGAUCAAAGCACAUAUUCUUGCUUCUUCAUUUACAUUAAUUUGCUGCCACUUAUAAGAACAAUUAUAAUAGCUAACGAUCUCAAAUAUGUGUCUUUUACACACCAAAUCUCCAUAGCAACACAAGCUCAGUUCAUUCGACAGCAGGAAGGUCAAUACACCAGACCCAUGAAUAAUUUAAGUACAAAUUAAUGGACCCCUUCAUGUCACUUGGUCAUAUUUAUGGGUUAAGCUCUUCCAUGAACCGUCUGUCCUUUCUACCACUUACAUUUUUAAAACAGGGUUAGUUUUAUUGCACGUUUUGAACCAUCACAUCGUUACAAACACAGACUGCUGCCUCCCAGUGACAGUUGGACUAGUCGUAGUGAGUGAAAAGGAUUAAAAGGUGGGUGAGACAGUUCAGGUAGGUGGGUACUGUUCAUCCUAAUGCGAGCAGGAACUGUUUGCAGAGGUUUUACUGGGCGUGCAUAUUCAGUUAGACAGGACCUGGUCUUUCUGAUGUCAUAGGACCGAGUGACAGAUGCAGCAUGCUCAGUGAAAGUUAGUUGACCAUCACUCACAAUGAUUUCGAGCAGACUUUGUUGUUGAGAGCGAGGUGGAGCUGAACUGAAUACUAAUGUGCUGAAUAAUCACUGCGAUCACCCAGAGUUCAGUCAUUGGGAGGUGAUCCAUCAUCCAUC